ACGUGUCAAGAGAGUCCUGCAGAGGACUCAAACAAUGAAGAAGACCUUGACUCCACGAAGGCAGCACCCCGGAUCCGUGAUACCCCAGAAGACAUCGUGCUGGAAGCGCCAGCCAGUGGCCUGGCGUUCCAUCCGACUCGAGAUCUGCUGGCAGCGGGGGACGUGGAUGGGGACGUGUUCGUCUUUGCCUACUCUUGUCAGGAGGGAGAAACCAAGGAGCUGUGGUCCUCAGGACACCACCUCAAGUCCUGCCGAGCUGUUGUCUUCUCAGAGGAUGGGCAGAGUAAGUACUCGGGAAGGCAACAACGUGUGGUAGAGGGUACAGGACAAUGAGCAAUCCCAUAACCUGGGCCUUUCCCCCCUAGAACUUGUUACUGUCUCUAAGGACAAAGCAAUCCAUGUACUAGAUGUGGAACAGGGACAAUUGGAAAGACGGAUUUCCAAGGCUCACAGGUAAGGAAAAUCAGUUAGGUGUUUGUGGACCUA
rnacentral:lncRNA from 1 species